rnacentral:rRNA from 1 species
GACGAACGCUGGCGGCGUGCUUAACACAUGCAAGUCGAACGGAAAGGCCCUGCUUUUGUGCGGUGCUCGAGUGGGGAACGGGUGCGUAACACGUGAGUAACCUGCCCUUGACUUUGGGAUAACUUCAGGAAACUGGGGCUAAUACCGGAUAGGAGCUCCUGCUGCAUGGUGGGGGUUGGAAAGUUUCGGCGGUUGGGGUUGGACGCGCGGCUUAUGAGCUUGUUGGUGGGGUAGUGGCUUACCAAGGCUGUGACGGGUAGCCGGCCUGAGAGGGUGACCGGCCACAUUGGGACUGAGGUACGGCCCAGACUCCUACGGGAGGCAGCAGUGGGGAAUAUUGCACAAUGGGCGGAAGCCUGAUGCAGCAACGCCGCGUGCGGGAUGACGGCCUUCGGGUUGUAAACCGCUUUCGCCUGUGACGAAGCGUGAGUGACGGUAAUGGGUAAAGAAGCACCGGCUAACUACGUG